rnacentral:rRNA from 1 species
GAUGAACGCUGACAGAAUGCUUAACACAUGCAAGUCAACUUGAAUUUGGGUUUUUAACUUAGGUUUGGGUGGCGGACGGGUGAGUAACGCGUAAAGAACUUGCCUCACAGCUAGGGACAACAUUUGGAAACGAAUGCUAAUACCUAAUAUUAUGAUAAUAGGGCAUCCUAUAAUUAUGAAAGCUAUAAGCGCUGUGAGAGAGCUUUGCGUCCCAUUAGCUAGUUGGAGAGGUAACGGCUCACCAAGGCGAUGAUGGGUAGCCGGCCUGAGAGGGUGAUCGGCCACAAGGGGACUGAGACACGGCCCUUACUCCUACGGGAGGUAGCAGCGGGGAAUAUUGGACAAUGGACCAAGAGUCUGAUCCAGCAAUUCUGUGUGCACGAUGAAGUUUUUCGGAAUGUAAAGUGCUUUCAGUUGGGAAGAAAGAAAUGACGGUACCAACAGAAGAAGUGACGGCUAAAUACGUG